AGUGAACGCUGGCGGUAGGCCUAACACAUGCAAGUCGAACGGCAGCACAGUAAGAGCUUGCUCUUACGGGUGGCGAGUGGCGGACGGGUGAGGAAUACAUCGGAAUCUACUUUUUCGUGGGGGAUAACGUAGGGAAACUUACGCUAAUACCGCAUACGACCUACGGGUGAAAGCAGGGGAUCUUCGGACCUUGCGCGAUUGAAUGAGCCGAUGUCGGAUUAGCUAGUUGGCGGGGUAAAGGCCCACCAAGGCGACGAUCCAUAGCUGGUCUGAGAGGACGAUCAGCCACACUGGAACUGAGACACGGUCCAGACUCCUACGGGAGGCAGCAGUGGGGAAUAUUGGACAAUGGGCGCAAGCCUGAUCCAGCCAUACCGCGUGGGUGAAGAAGGCCUUCGGGUUGUAAAGCCCUUUUGUUGGGAAAGAAAAGCAGCAGGUUAAUACCCCGCUGUUCUGACGGUACCCAAAGAAUAAGCACCGGCUAACUUCGUG
rnacentral:rRNA from 1 species